CUACACUGUAAAAAAUAAUUCAGUGGCUUAGUAAAUUUCACAAAAAUAAAGAGCUAUAUUAACUUAAUAAAAUCUUUUGAAAUCAUUUAAGUGAUAUUUUGAGUGGGUCAGAUUAAAAAGAAUAAUAAAAAAUCCAACAAAUAAUUUCUCUAAAAUUUACAUAUAUUAUUUAAGUUUAUGUAAUGAAAAUAAAUAAGUAUUUAACUAACUAAUUAUAUUUUUUAUAUACCUUCAAUAUUUCUGGUGAAUUCUAAUAGAAAUAUUUGAUAAUUAUUUACUUGUACUGAUCUGUUUUAGAAACUAAAAUUAUUAAGUAUUUCCAACCAAUUUUCCUAAAUAAAGUUCCAGCUUAAUAAAUGACAGUUUAAAUAAAUUGAGUAAAUUUCGCGGCUAAAGUGAUCACGUGUGCAGCUCCGCAGGAAAAAAAAUCUGCUUUCCUCAGCAGCGACGUCGACUAGCCAUACACCUCACAGCUCCUGGUAAGUAACGUUAGUCAGCUAAUCCUAAUUACGUUUGUAACACUUUAUUAAAAAGUUAAUAAUUAUUAAGCAUUUUCUAACAAUUGUCUUUGUAUUUUACGUCAUAUUCAACAAGUUUCGUAGCUUAAUCGAAGUCACCUGAAGGACGGCUUUCCUCCGCAACGGCAAGACCCGCACUCCUCUCAUAUCGUGAAGUUUAACAAGUUUCGCGGCUCAAACAAGAGGCACCUGUCACUGAAGGACUGCUUUUCUCAGCAACGACGUGAACAGCAUUACUCGAAUUUCCUGGUUCAGCUGAUCUACCCGUCUUCGUACAAGCAGAGUUGGCAGAGGAGGUCAUAAAAAUCUACAUCCUUCGGAACAAUAAUGGGGCAGUCAGCGACGUAAUCUUGGGAAUCUCAGCAGAGUCUGCUGCCAUCUUUCAGGAGUCACAUUGGAUUUGAGAUAUCCCAAGACCCACAAAUACAGGUCCUUCUCCAAAAAUUAGCAUAUUGUGAUAAAGUUCAUUAUUUUCCAUAAUGUAAUGAUAAAAAUUAAACUUUCAUUUAUUUUAGAUUCAUUGCACACCAACUGAAAUAUUUCGGGUCUUUUAUUGUUUAAAUACUGAUGCUUUUGGCAUACAGCUCAUGAAAACCAUAAAUUCCUAUCUCAAAAAAUAGCUUAUUUCAUCUGACCAAUAAAAGAAAAGUGUUUUUAAUACAAAAAAGUCAACCUUCAAAUAAUUGUUCAGUUAUGCACUCAAUACUUGGUGGGGAAUCCUUUUGCAGAAAUGACUGCUUCAAUGCGGCGUGGCAUGGAGGCAAUCAGCCUGUGGCGCUGCUUCGAUAGCGGCCUUAAGCUCAUCCAGAGUGUUUUGUCUUGCGUCUCUUAACUUUCUCUUCACAAUAUCCCACAGAUUCUCUAUGGGGUUCAGGUCAGGAGAGUUGGCAGGCCAAUUGAGCACAGUAAUACCAUGGUCAGUAAACCAUUUACCAGUGUGAGCAGGUGCCAGGUCGUGCUGAAAAGCAAAAUCUUCAUCUCCAUAAAGCUUUUCAAUGGAUGGAAACAUGAAGUGCUCCCAAAUCUCCUGAUAACUAGCUGCAUUGACCCUGCCCUUGAUAAAACAUAGUGGACCAACACCAGCAGCUGACAUGGCACCCCAGACCAUCACUGACUGUGAGUACUUGAUACUGGACUUCAGGCAUUUUGGCAUUUCCUUCUCCCCAGUCUUCCUCCAGACUCUGUCACCUUGAUUUCCAAAUGACAUGCAAAAUUAGCUUUCAUCCGAAAAAAGUACUUUGGACCACUGAUCAACAGUCCAGUGCUGCUUCUCUGUAGCCCAUUUCCUGCACACGCCUGUGCACGGUGGCUCUGGAUGUUUCUACUCCAGACUCAGUCCACAAUCUUCCUCGGGGUCCGGACACCUCUUCUCGUUGUGAAGCGUUUUUUGCCACACUUUUUCCUUCCCACAGACUUCCCACUGAGGUGCCUUGAUACAGCACUCUGGGAACAGCCUAUUCGUUCAGAAAUUUCUUUCUGUGUCUUACCCUCUCGCUUGAGGGUGUCAGUGAUGGCCUUCUGGACAGCAGUCAGGUCGGCAGUCUUACCCAUGAUUGCGGUUUUGAGUAAUGAACCAGGCUGGGAGUUUUUACAAGCCUCAGGAAUCUUUUGCAGGUGUUUAGAGUUAAUUAGUUGAUUCAGAUGAUUAGGUUAAUAGCUCGUUUAGAGAACCUUUUCAUGAUAUGCUAAUUUUUUGAGAUAGGAAUUUUGGGUUUUCAUGAGCUGUAUGCCAAAAUCAUCAGUAUUAAAACAAUAAAAGACCUGAAAUAUUUCAGUUGGUGUGCAAUGAAUCUAGAAUAUAUGAAAGUUAAAUGUUUAUCAUUACAUUACGGAAAAUAAUGAACUUCAUCACAAUAUGCUAAUAUUUUGAGAAGGACCCUGUACUCACUUGAGUUGUUCCAAAAACUGUUUCUUGAGCUGGAUCCUCCAAAACUCUGUUAAUGUUCAGAGGUUAAAAAAUUAUCUUCUUGCACAGUAGUGGUUCAUGGUCAUCCCACAGAAUGGGUAUUCCUUAUGGAAGUGUUUCUGUUAUCGGAUUAAUUCUGUUGAAGACAUAGUUCACCCCAAAAGAUGAUGUUGUCAUAAUUUACUCUCCCUCAAUUUGUACCAAACCUGUACGAGUUUCUUUCUUCUGUUGAACACAAAAGAUAUUUUAAGUGAAGUGACGUGACAUUCAGCCAAGUAUUAAAGAGUGUUGGUUAACGCAGUUAAAGGUUGCCAUUGACUUUGCAUAGUAUACUUUUUUUUUUUUUUUUUUUUUCCUAUCAUGGAAGUCAAUGGCAACUUUCAACUAUCUGUUAACCAACAUUCAUUAAAAUAUAUUUUGUGUUCAACAGAAGAAAGAAAUUCGUACAGAUUUGGGACAACCCGGGGGGGCGAGUACAUUAUGACAACAUCAUCUUUUUGGGUGAAUUAUCCCUUUAAUAUUGAUGUAAGUGUUGCUUUUAUAUUUUUUUAUGGUUUAAUGUUGAGUGUGACUGCAAAUGGCUGGUAUGCACCAGGAACAAAGAUGUCAUUUCUCUUACGGCUAUCGUAUUUUACAUGUAAUCUACUUGAAUACUAAGAUGGAUGAAAUGUUUCAUAAGGUUUAAUCAUUUCCCUUAUGGCUACUUUACAGUUUUUAAUUUUUGCAAUCCACUGGAAUAUUAAAAUGGAUAAAAUGUUUCAAAGGUUGAUUUUAGACUUUGUCUUAUGUUUAAUUGACAAAUAAAUUUUCAAUAAAAAAUGUGUUUCUUUCUUUAUUUGGUUUUAUUCUAUUAAUUAUAAAGGGUAAAUGGUG